AGAGUUUGAUCAUGGCUCAGAACGUACGCUGGCGGCACGCCUUAUACAUGCAAGUCGAACGAAGUAGCAAUACUUAGUGGCAGACGGGUGAGUAACAUGUAGGUAUCUUCCCUUUGGUGAGGAAUAACACGAGGAAACUUGUGCUAAUACCUCAUAAGUCUUUACGGAGAAAGCUUUAUGCGCCGAAGGAUGAGCCUGCACUUGAUUAGUUUGUUGGUGGGGUAAUGGCCCACCAAGACUUUGAUCAAUAGCUGAUCUGAGAGGAUGAUCAGCCACAUUGGGACUGAGACACGGCCCAAACUCCUACGGGAGGCAGCAGUAGGGAAUAUUGCACAAUGGAGGAAACUCUGAUGCAGCGAUGCCGCGUGAGUGAAGAAGGCCUUUGGGUUGUAAAGCUCUUUCGUCGGGGAAGAAAAUGACUGUACCCGAAUAAGAAGGUCCGGCUAACUUCGUGCCAGCAGCCGCGGUAAUACGAAGGGACCUAGCGUAGUUCGGAAUUACUGGGCUUAAAGAGUUCGUAGGUGGUUAAAAAAGUUGGUGGUGAAAUCCCAGAGCUUAACUCUGGAACUGCCAUCAAAACUUUUUAGCUAGAGUAUGAUAGAGGAAAGCAGAAUUUCUAGUGUAGAGGUGAAAUUCGUAGAUAUUAGAAAGAAUACCAAUUGCGAAGGCAGCUUUCUGGAUCAUUACUGACGCUGAGGAACGAAAGCAUGGGUAGCGAAGAGGAUUAGAUACCCUCGUAGUCCAUGCCGUAAACGAUGUGUGUUAGACGUUGGAAAUUUAUUUUCAGUGUCGCAGCGAAAGCAUUAAACACACCGCCUGGGGAGUACGACCGCAAGGUUAAAACUCAAAUGAAUUGACGGGGACCCGCACAAGUAGUGGAGCAUGUGGUUUAAUUCGAAGAUACGCGCAGAACCUUACCAACACUUGACAUGUUCGUCGCGACUUUAAGAGAUUAAAGUUUUCGGUUCGGCCGGACGAAACACAGGUGCUGCAUGGCUGUCGUCAGCUCGUGUCGUGAGAUGUUGGGUUAAGUCCCGCAACGAGCGCAACCCUCACUUUUAGUUGCCAUCAUUUAGUUGGGCACUCUGAAAGAACUGCCAGUGAUAAGCUGGAGGAAGGUGGGGAUGACGUCAAGUC
rnacentral:rRNA from 1 species